AAAGAGAAAGAAAAAGAAAAAGAACAAGAGAAAGAAGAAGAGGAAGAACAAGAAAAAGAAGAAUAAACAAACCAAAGUAAUAGAAAAUAAUGCCGUCGGUGUAGAAGAAUCCGCUUCCUCCAAUCAGAACCAUCCUGCUGAAAUACGUGGUUCUGAAGCACAUACUGAUGAUACUUCGGGGAUAGAUGACGAUUCUAAUAGACAUGACACUGAGGGUGCCAAAGUCUCAUCUUUAGCGGAGAACGAGAAACACUGUAGGAUGGAUUCAGAGGCUAUCUUCGAGGAGAAACUUAAACAGUUCUCAUGGGAAAAAGAUGCCAGUUUACUGAAGGAGUCUAACUUGAACGAGAGGAUUAAACAACUUCAGAAUGAAAAUAACAGUCAUCUGCAUAAAGAGGCUAGUUUUGAGAUGAAAAUCAUGCAAUUGCAAGAUCAAAUUAGUAGUCUCAGGAGGCAAGAGGCUAACCAAGAAGAAAAGAUAAGACAAUUGCAUAUGGAGAAGGAUCUUUACUUGCAGAAAGAGGCUGAGUUUGAGAUGAAUAAUUCUCAGUUACAAAGUGAAAAGAGUUCCUGGCUUCUAAAGGAGGGUGGCUUAGAGAAAAGAAAUAAUGAGUUGGUGGAGGA
rnacentral:misc_RNA from 1 species